rnacentral:tRNA from 1 species
GGACCGGUGGUGUAGUGGUAACUAACACACUGCACCCGGACGUGAAGGAGAGUGGUUCGAUUCCCUCCUGGUUCA